UUAACGGCCGCGGUACCCUAACCGUGCGAAGGUAGCAUAAUCACUUGUUCUUUAAAUGGGGACUCGUAUCAACGGCACUACGAGGGCUAUACUGUCUCCUUUUUCUAAUCAGUGAAACUGAUCUCCCCGUGAAGAAGCGGGGAUUAAAAUAUAAGACGAGAAGACCCCAUGGAGCUUUAAACUCACCAUGCACCUCUGUGCCCCCCAUAUCCUUAAACACAACGGACCUGCAUGCUAGUUUUAGGUUGGGGUGACCACGGAGUACAACUUAACCUCCACAGCAAAUGGGCUAAUACCCUUAUCCACGAGACACAACUCUAAGAAUUAUUAUACUAAUGCUUAUUGACCCGAUAUUCGAUCAAUGAACCAAGUUACCCUGGGGAUAACAGCGCAAUCUACUUCAAGAGCCCAUAUCGACAAGUAGGUUUACGACCUCGAUGUUGGAUCAGGGUAUCCCGGUGGUGCAGCCGCUACCAAUGGUUUGUUUGUUCAACGAUUAAAACCCUACGUG
rnacentral:rRNA from 2 species